rnacentral:rRNA from 1 species
CAGAGAGCUUGCUCUCGGGUGACGAGUGGCGGACGGGUGAGUAAUGUCUGGGAAACUGCCUGAUGGAGGGGGAUAACUACUGGAAACGGUAGCUAAUACCGCAUAACGUCGCAAGACCAAAGUGGGGGACCUUCGGGCCUCAUGCCAUCAGAUGUGCCCAGAUGGGAUUAGCUAGUAGGUGGGGUAAUGGCUCACCUAGGCGACGAUCCCUAGCUGGUCUGAGAGGAUGACCAGCCACACUGGAACUGAGACACGGUCCAGACUCCUACGGGAGGCAGCAGUGGGGAAUAUUGCACAAUGGGCGCAAGCCUGAUGCAGCCAUGCCGCGUGUAUGAAGAAGGCCUUCGGGUUGUAAAGUACUUUCAGCGAGGAGGAAGGCAUUAAGGUUAAUAACCUUGGUGAUUGUCGUUACUCGCAGAAGAUGCACCGGCUAACUCCGUGCCAGCAGCCGCGGUAAUACGGAGGGUGCAAGCGUUAAUCGGAAUUACUGGGCGUAAAGCGCACGCAGGCGGUCUGUUAAGUCAGAUGUGAAAUCCCCGGGCUCAACCUGGGAACUGCAUUUGAAACUGGCAGGCUUGAGUCUUGUAGAGGGGGGUAGAAUUCCAGGUGUAGCGGUGAAAUGCGUAGAGAU